CCACAAUGUACGGAAGUACGAUGGGGUUAUCUCGAGUGCAGUCCGAUAAGGGCUGCUUUUCCAUAGAGUAAUAUCCCGUGGGAAUAAGAGGGGGGCAAGACUGGUGUCAGCCGCCGCGGUAACACCAGCCCCUCGAGUGGUGGGGACUAUUAUUUGGCCUAAAGCGUCCGUAGCUGGCUGUAUCCGUCUCCCGUUAAAUCCAGCGUCCUAAGCGUUGGACCGCGGGUGAUACCAUACAGCUAGAGGGUGGGAUAGGUGGGCGGUAUUUCUGGGGUAGGGGCGAAAUCCUUUGAUCCCAGGAGGACCACCAGUGGCGAAGGCUGCCCACUAGAACACGCCUGACGGUCAGGGACGAAAGCUGGGGCAGCGAACCGG
rnacentral:rRNA from 1 species